UACGGAGGGGGCCAGCGUUGUUCGGAAUUAUUGGGCGUAAAGGGCGCGUAGGCGGCCAUUCAAGUCGGACGUGAAAUCCCUCGGCUCAACCGGGGAACUGCGUCCGAUACUGUCUGGCUCGAGUCCUGGAGAGGGUAGUGGAAUUCCCAGUGUAGCGGUGAAAUGCGUAGAUAUCGUAAGGAAGACCAGUGGCGAAGGCGGGUCUCUGGACAGUUCCUGACGCUGAGGCACGAAGGCCAGGGGAGCAAACGGG
rnacentral:rRNA from 1 species